ACGUAGGUGGCGAGCGUUGUCCGGAAUUAUUGGGCGUAAAGAGCAUGUAGGCGGCUUAAUAAGUCGAGCGUGAAAAUGCGGGGCUCAACCCCGUAUGGCGCUGGAAACUGUUAGGCUUGAGUGCAGGAGAGGAAAGGGGAAUUCCCAGUGUAGCGGUGAAAUGCGUAGAUAUUGGGAGGAACACCAGUGGCGAAGGCGCCUUUCUGGACUGUGUCUGACGCUGAGAUGCGAAAGCUAGGGUAGCGAACGG
rnacentral:rRNA from 1 species